rnacentral:rRNA from 1 species
CAGUAGCCACGGGAAUACGUAGGGUGCGAGCGUUAAUCGGAAUUACUGGGCGUAAAGCGUGCGCAGGCGGUUUUGUAAGACAGGCGUGAAAUCCCCGGGCUCAACCUGGGAAUGGCGCUUGUGACUGCAAAGCUAGAGUGCGGCAGAGGGGGAUGGAAUUCCGCGUGUAGCAGUGAAAUGCGUAGAUAUGCGGAGGAACACCGAUGGCGAAGGCAAUCCCCUGGGCCUGCACUGACGCUCAUGCACGAAAGCGUGGGGAGCAAACAGGAUUAGAUACCCCUGUAGUCCCUGUCUCUUAUCC